rnacentral:rRNA from 1 species
AACGCGAAGAACCUUACCAGGUCUUUGACAUCCUCUGCCACUCCUAGAGAUAGGACGUUCCCCUUCGGGGGACAGAGUGACAGGUGGUGCAUGGUUGUCGUCAGCUCGUGUCGUGGGAUGUUGGGUUAAGUCCCGCAACGAGCGCAACCCUUGAUCUUAGUUGCCAGCAUUUAGUUGGGCACUCUAAGGUGACUGCCGGUGACAAACCGGAGGAAGGUGGGGAUGACGUCAAAUCAUCAUGCCCCUUAUGACCUGGGCUACACACGUGCUACAAUGGAUAGAACAAAGGGCAGCGAAGCCGCGAGGUGAAGCCAAUCCCAUAAAUCUAUUCUCAGUUCGGAUUGUAGGCUGCAACUCGCCUACAUGAAGCCGGAAUCGCUAGUAAUCGCGGAUCAGCAUGCCGCGGUGAAUACGUUCCCGGGCCUUGUACACACCG